GUGGGGAAUUUUGGACAAUGGGCGCAAGCCUGAUCCAGCAAUGCCGCGUGCAGGAAGAAGGCCUUCGGGUUGUAAACUGCUUUUGUACGGAACGAAACGGUCCUGGUUAAUACCCGGGGCUAAUGACGGUACCGUAAGAAUAAGCACCGGCUAACUACGUGCCAGCAGCCGCGGUAAUACGUAGGGUGCAAGCGUUAAUCGGAAUUACUGGGCGUAAAGCGUGCGCAGGCGGUGCUGUAAGACAGGCGUGAAAUCCCCGGGCUUAACCUGGGAAUUGCGCUUGUGACUGCAGUGCUGGAGUGCGGCAGAGGGGGAUGGAAUUCCGCGUGUAGCAGUGAAAUGCGUAGAUAUAGGAAGGAACACCAGUGGCGAAGGCGACCACCUGGACUGAUACUGACACUGAGGUGCGAAAGCGUGGGGAGCAAACAGGAUUAGAUACCCGAGUAGUCC
rnacentral:rRNA from 1 species